AAAAAAGUCACAAAUUCCCAUCCCGCCGUCGUAAACCCAAAAAUCACAAAUUCCCAUCUCCUUUACUUUUUCAGAAAUCUUUCUUCGUAAUAUCAAAACUUUGCCUUGAAAACUCAUAAUCUUUCUUUCACUUCUCCCUCUUUCUCGUCUACCUGUGCGUUUUUCAUGGAGGGUUGCAGCAGCGAGUUUGAUGGUCGGAUUCGUAGAGUGGAAGCCAUAAUCAGUUCAGUGGUACGAGCGACGGUCGGACAAAUUUGCCCAAUAUUUUGGAUCUAUGAUUUUUGAGGUGUGAGUUUUAAAGAGAGAGAAGCGAUUGAUGAUGCAAUUUGACAUGUAUAUUCACCAGAUCUGAGAUUUAGUUGGGUAUUCAUGUUGUUCAGAAGGUUAAUCUUAUUCGUAUCACUAUGGAUUGGGAGGUGUUAUUUCAUAGAAACACAAGUUCUAUGGGUCAUAUUUUCGUUCAGCUUCAGCAAAAAGAAAAAGAAAGGAAGGCUUUAAAGCUACUUGCAGUGAUAUGAAACAAGGAUCCAGAGUGUUUCUUCUUCUGUCCACAGGAUCUGGCAGAAGUGAAAUCCUUUUUCAACUUAACAGUCUCAAGAAUUAGCGUCCAUCAGUUGUAGUGAAGGUUUUCAAAAGAAACUUUGGACAAUAAUUAUGAUGACCUAUCCUCUCAAGAUGCAUUUGAAUAUGACAGUAUAGAUUAUAUUGGUUAUAACAGUGACGAAGACACAUAUUCUUUUGCAUCACUGUAUAAUGAAAGAGAUGAUAUUGAAGAGAACAAGAUUGAUGGCAUUUUGAAAGGAUUGUGUUUGCUGUAUUGCAUAAUUCGGCUCAGGAAAAUUUUACUCAAUUUAAAAACUAUUUGGUUUGCUUGCAUUUGGAAUAUAUAGAUAGGUCAGAACGAGGAGCUGUUCUGUAGCGGUUAGAGUUGUGCCUAUGUGUCUUUCAAAGUGGAAAUCGUAGCGGUUUGAUUGUUAGAUGUUUCUUUGGUGUUGUGUAAGUAGCUUGGAUUUAAUUGAUUUUGGUGCUGGUGAGGUUUUGGUAAUUUGUUACAGGGCUGAUUGGUGGGUUCAAAGUUGGGAGAACUUAGAAUUCUGUUCUGGUUGGCUCACAUGCAUUAUUGUAAUUUCAGAAAAUACUCUGCCUCUAGUAUAAUUAAGAAAGGGGAGUAACAAAAGAGUUUGAUUUUGUGUUAAAUAUGUUGUCUUUGUAUACACUUGGAAUAUUGAUUGUCCCUUUAUAUUUAUAUGACAGGGCAAUAAUUAUACACUAA